UCACUAGGGGAGCAUUUGCUGAGAGACUUCGGUCGACCCUUGGAACCUGUUGGGGUAAUACCUGCGUAGGGAAGUGA
rnacentral:ncRNA from 1 species